UUUAUUUGCUAGGGGUGCCAAAUUGGCUGAGAAGGAAAAAUCCUAACUCUAUGAACCUGAUAUGGUUAACACCAUCGUAGGGAAGCAAGGGUUUGUAUAU
rnacentral:ncRNA from 2 species